GUCAGCUCGUGUCGUGAGAUGUUGGGUUAAGUCCCGCAACGAGCGCAACCCUUGAUCUUAGUUGCCAGCAUUUAGUUGGGCACUCUAAGGUGACUGCCGGUGACAAACCGGAGGAAGGUGGGGAUGACGUCAAAUCAUCAUGCCCCUUAUGACCUGGGCUACACACGUGCUACAAUGGACAGAACAAAGGGCUGCGAGACCGCAAGGUUUAGCCAAUCCCAUAAAUCUGUUCUCAGUUCGGAUCGCAGUCUGCAACUCGACUGCGUGAAGCUGGAAUCGCUAGUAAUCGCGGAUCAGCAUGCCGCGGU
rnacentral:rRNA from 1 species